UGAGGAAUAUUGGUCAAUGGGCGAGAGCCUGAACCAGCCAAGUCGCGUGAAGGAAGACAGUCCUAAGGAUUGUAAACUUCUUUUAUACGGGAAUAACGGGCGAUACGAGUAUUGCAUUGAAUGUACCGUAAGAAUAAGCAUCGGCUAACUCCGUGCCAGCAGCCGCGGUAAUACGGAGGAUGCGAUCGUUAUCCGGAUUUAUUGGGUUUAAAGGGUGCGUAGGUUGUUCGGUAAGUCAGCGGUGAAACCUGGGCGCUCAACGUUCAGCCUGCCGUUAAAACUGCCGGGCUUGAGUUCAGUGGCGGCAGGCGGAAUUCGUGGUGUAGCGGUGAAAUGCAUAGAUAUCACGAGGAACUCCGAUUGCGAAGGCAGCUUGCCAUACUGCGACUGACACUGAAGCACGAAGGCGUGGGUAUCAAACAGG
rnacentral:rRNA from 1 species